rnacentral:rRNA from 1 species
AAUAGAUACCCAGGUAGUCCACACCGUAAACGUUGGGCGCUAGGUGUGGGGUCCUUUCCACGGAUUCCGUGCCGUAGCUAACGCAUUAAGCGCCCCGCCUGGGGAGUACGGCCGCAAGGCUAAAACUCAAAAGGAAUUGACGGGGGCCCGCGACAAGCGGCGGAGCAUGCGGAUUAAUUCGAUGCAACGCGAAGAACCUUACCUGGGUUUGACAUACACCGGAAGCCCCCAGAGAUGGGGGUCUCUUUGAUACUGGUGUACAGGUGGUGCAUGGCUGUCGUCAGCUCGUGUCGUGAGAUGUUGGGUUAAGUCCCGCAACGAGCGCAACCCUCGUUCCAUGUUGCCAGCGGAUUAUGCCGGGGACUCAUGGGAGACUGCCGGGGUCAACUCGGAGGAAGGUGGGGAUGACGUCAAGUCAUCAUGCCCCUUAUGUCCAGGGCUUCACGCAUGCUACAAUGGCCGGUACAAAGGGCUGCGAUCCCGUGAGGGGGAGCGAAUCCCGAAAAAGCCGGUCUCAGUUCGGAUUGGGGUCUGCAACUCGACCCCA